GACGUGAGGGCGCGAGCGUUGUCCGGAUUUAUUGGGGCGUAAAAGAGCUCGUAGGCGGCUUUGUCGCGUCGGUUGUAGAAAAACCUGCAGCCUCAACUGCAGGCUUGCGGUCGAUACGGGGCAGGGCUGGAGUUCGGUAGGGGGAGACUGGAAUUCCUGGUGUAGCGGUGAAAUGACGCAGAUAUCAGGAGGAACACCCGGGU
rnacentral:rRNA from 1 species